rnacentral:rRNA from 1 species
GAUGAACGCUGGCGGCGUGCCUAAUACAUGCAAGUCGAGCGAACGGACGAGAAGCUUGCUUCUCUGAUGUUAGCGGCGGACGGGUGAGUAACACGUGGAUAACCUACCUAUAAGACUGGGAUAACUUCGGGAAACCGGAGCUAAUACCGGAUAAUAUUUUGAACCGCAUGGUUCAAAAGUGAAAGACGGUCUUGCUGUCACUUAUAGAUGGAUCCGCGCUGCAUUAGCUAGUUGGUAAGGUAACGGCUUACCAAGGCAACGAUGCAUAGCCGACCUGAGAGGGGGGUGGGCCACAUGGGAGAGGACACCGUGCCCAGCCCCCUGGGGGAGGCAACAGAGGGAUAUCGUCGGAAAGGGGGGAAGGCCUGAGGGACAAGCGCGGAGUGAGUGAAAAGGGUUUUGGGUGCUAAAAACUUUUUUAUGGGGGAAGAACAUAUGGGUAAGUACAUGUGCACUUCUGGACGGUACCAAACAAAAAAGCAAGGGCAAACUAGGCC